rnacentral:misc_RNA from 1 species
UGCGGCUGGAUCCCCUCCUUUCUAAGGAUUGUCUUUAGAAAAACAUGCGUGACCUGCUCUUAGUUUUAUAAAUAGCGCAGAAGUGCUGAAGCGCGGAAGUACAGAAGUAAAGGCAUCUGGCUGUUUACUUUUGAACUAUUGCACUAUAGACUUUUGCGCUGCCCGCCACGGGGUGGGCGAAGUUCUUUGACAACAGAAGGGAAGAAGUAAGGGUCAAGAUAGCAAGGGCGUAUGGUGGAUGCCUUGGCAUCAGGGAGCGACGAAGGACGCAGCGGACUGCGAAAAGCCACGGGGACCUGUGAGUAAGGAUUGAUCCGUGGAUAUCCGAAUGGGGAAACCCG